CAGCUUCAAAGUGUAGAACCUGGCAGAACAAAGGUAAAGAGUAUCUGUGGGAUCCUACACUCCAUUAACUGAAGGAGAAGAGCAGACAGCAGCAGCUUCUCCAUGGUGAAGAAAUCCCAUCAGAGGACGAGUGCAGUAUCUCCAGUCUCUCUUACAGGUGGUUUGAUGCAGUUAUCAACACGCUCUUGAACAUGAAAUCUAUUUUGUAACUACUGUUGUGACCUUUGCAGAAAUGUCCUGGGGAAUUUGAGAAAAAUGGUACAUUUCACAGAAUGUUGUUUGAAC
rnacentral:lncRNA from 1 species